UACGAAAGGGGCUUGUGUUAUUCGGUCAAAUUGGGCGUAAAGGAUUCUAAUGCUGUUUUUUGAACGUUAAAAAUUAAAUGUCAAAGCUAACCUUUGGAAUAGUUUUUAAAACCAAAAUUCUGGAGUAGUUUACGGGUUAUUAGUAUUUCUUCAAUAAGGGUCAAAUCUGUUAAUAGAAGAAGGAGGACCUA
rnacentral:rRNA from 1 species